rnacentral:rRNA from 1 species
CACGUAGGGCGCGAGCGUUGUCCGGAAUUAUUGGGCGUAAAGAGCUCGUAGGCGGCCUGUUGCGUCCGCUGUGAAAGCCCCGGGGCUUAACCCCGGGUCGGCAGUGGAUACGGGCAGGCUAGAGGUAGGUAGGGGAGAAUGGAAUUCCCGGUGUAGCGGUGAAAUGCGCAGAUAUCGGGAGGAACACCGGUGGCGAAGGCGGUCUCUGGCCUUACCUGACGCUG